CACACAAACACACAGACUGUCUCACACACUCUCUCGCUUAUACACACUCACACACACACACACUCACACUCACACUAUAGCACUCUCUUGCCCAAUACAAAGGGGGUCACCCAUACAUUUGGGCUGAUGGUAUGUAGGACAGGGCUGAUUACAGUAGUAACAGUAGAGGGCUGAUGGUAUGUAGGACAGGGCUGAUUACAGUAGUAACAGUAGAGGGCUGAUGGUAUGUAGGUCAGGGCUGAUUACAGUAGUAACAGUAGAGGGCUGAUGGUAUGUAGGACAGGGCUGAUUACAGUAGUAACAGUAGAGGGCUGAUGGUAUGUAGGACAGGGCUGAUUACAGUAGUAACAGUAGAGGGCUGAUGGUAUGUAGGACAGGGGUCAUCAAUCAUUUCGGCUCGAGGGCCACAUCAGGAUACAAUGCCGUGCC